rnacentral:rRNA from 1 species
AUUGAACGCUGGCGGCAUGCUUUACACAUGCAAGUCGAGCGGUAACAGGCCUUCGGGUGCUGACGAGUGGCGAACGGGUGAGUAAUGCAUCGGAACGCACCCAGAGGUGGGGGAUAACGCAGCGAAAGCUGUGCUAAUACCGCAUGUGAUCUGAGGAUGAAAGCGGGGGACCGAGCAGCAAUGUUUGGCCUCGCGCCUUUGGAGCGGCCGAUGUCGGAUUAGCUAGUUGGUGGGGUAAAGGCCUACCAAGGCGACGAUCCGUAGCUGGUCUGAGAGGACGACCAGCCACACUGGGACUGAGACACGGCCCAGACUCCUACGGGAGGCAGCAGUGGGGAAUUUUGGACAAUGGGCGCAAGCCUGAUCCAGCAAUGCCGCGUGCGGGAAGAAGGCCUUCGGGUUGUAAACCGCUUUUGGCAGGAACGAAACGGUGUCCGCUAAUACCGGGCGCUAAUGACGGUACCUGCAGAAUAAGCACCGGCUAACUACGUG